GGCAGAGGUGCCGAGCGUUAGGCGGAAUCACUGGGCUUAAAGCGUGUGUAGGCGGAGUUCUAAGUACCUUGUGAAAUCCCACGGCUUAACCGUGGAACUGCUUGGUAUACUGGUUCUCUUGGGCCAUCUAGGGGCUAGCGGAACAAACGGUGGAGCGGUGAAAUGCGUAGAUAUCGUUUGGAACGCCAAUGGUGAAAACAGCUAGCUGGGGAUGUGCCGACGCUGAGACACGAAAGCCAGGGGAGCGAACGGG
rnacentral:rRNA from 1 species